GCCCGGGUAGCUCAACUGGUGGAGCAACGGCUUUGUAAGCCGUAGGCUGCGGGUUCGAGUCCCGCCCCGGGCU
rnacentral:tRNA from 1 species